rnacentral:rRNA from 1 species
GGAAGGGGUGUAUUUAUUAGAUUAAAAACCAAUGCCCUUCGGGGCUCUCUGGUGAUUCAUAAUAACUUCUCGAAUCGCACGGCCUUGCGCCGGCGAUGGUUCAUUCAAAUUUCUGCCCUAUCAACUUUCGACGGCUGGGUCUUGGCCAGCCAUGGUGACAACGGGUAACGGAGGGUUAGGGCUCGACCCCGGAGAAGGAGCCUGAGAAACGGCUACUACAUCCAAGGAAGGCAGCAGGCGCGCAAAUUACCCAAUCCCGACACGGGGAGGUAGUGACAAUAAAUACUGAUACAGGGCUCUUUCGGGUCUUGUAAUUGGAAUGAGUACAAUUUAAAUCCCUUAACGAGGAACAAUUGGAGGGCAAGUCUGGUGCCAGCAGCCGCGGUAAGUCCAGCUCCAAUAGCGUAUAUUAAAGUUGUUGAGGUUAAAAAGCUCGUAGUUGAACCUUGGGCCUAGCCGGCCGGUCCGCCUCACCGCGUGCACUGGCUCGGCUGGGCCUUUCCUUCUGGAGAACCGCAUGCCCUUCACUGGGUGUGCCGGGGAACCAGGACUUUUACA